AACCACCUGUUCCCAUUCCGAACACAGAAGUGAAAUGUUGUUGCGCCGAUGGUAGUGUAGCAUUCGCUAUGUGAGAGUAGGUCAUUGCCAGGA
rnacentral:rRNA from 1 species